UACAGAGGGUGCGAGCGUUAAUCGGAAUUACUGGGCGUAAAGCGCACGUAGGCGGCUUUGCAAGUCGGGUGUGAAAUCCCCGGGCUCAACCUGGGAACUGCAUCCGAGACUGCAUUGCUCGAGUAUGGGAGAGGGAAGUGGAAUUUCCGGUGUAGCGGUGAAAUGCGUAGAUAUCGGAAGGAACAUCAGUGGCGAAAGCGGCUUCCUGGACCAGUACCGACGUUCAGGCACGAAAGCGUGGGGAGCAAACAGG
rnacentral:rRNA from 1 species